AUUGAACGCUUGCGGCAUGCUUAACACAUGCAAGUCGAACGCGAAAGUCCUUCGGGCGAGUAGAGUGGCGGACGGGUGAGUAACGCGUGGGAAUCUACCCUAGAGCGGGGGACAACCCGGGAAACCCGGGCUAAUACCGCAUACGUCCUACGGGAGAAAGAGGGCCUCUGCUUGCAAGCUCUCACUCCAGGAUGAGCCCACGUCCGAUUAGCUAGUUGGUAGGGUAAAGGCCUACCAAGGCCACGAUCGGUAGCUGGUCUGAGAGGAUGAUCAGCCACACUGGGACUGAGACACGGCCCAGACUCCUACGGGAGGCAGCAGUGGGGAAUAUUGGACAAUGGGCGCAAGCCUGAUCCAGCAAUGCCGCGUGUGUGAAGAAGGCCUGCGGGUUGUAAAGCACUUUCAGUGGGGAAGAACAGGUUCGGGUCAAUACCCCGGAGCCCUGACGUUACCCACAGAAGAAGCACCGGCUAACUACGUGCCAGCAGCCGCGGUAAU
rnacentral:rRNA from 1 species